AUUGAACGCUGGCGGCAGGCUUAACACAUGCAAGUCGAGCGGGGAAGAGUAGCUUGCUACUUUACCUAGCGGCGGACGGGUGAGUAAUGCUUAGGAAUCUGCCUAUUAGUGGGGGGCAACAUCUCGAAAGGGAUGCUAAUACCGCAUACGUCCUACGGGAGAAAGCAGGGGACCUUCGGGCCUUGCGCUAAUAGAUGAGCCUAAGUCGGAUUAGCUAGUUGGUGGGGUAAAGGCCUACCAAGGCGACGAUCUGUAGCGGGUCUGAGAGGAUGAUCCGCCACACUGGGACUGAGACACGGCCCAGACUCCUACGGGAGGCAGCAGUGGGGAAUAUUGGACAAUGGGGGGAACCCUGAUCCAGCCAUGCCGCGUGUGUGAAGAAGGCCUUUUGGUUGUAAAGCACUUUAAGCGAGGAGGAGGCUACCGAGAUUAAUACUCUUGGAUAGUGGACGUUACUCGCAGAAUAAGCACCGGCUAACUCUGUGCCAGCCGCCGCCGUAAAAC
rnacentral:rRNA from 1 species